UACGAAGGGGGCUAGCGUUGUUCGGAAUUACUGGGCGUAAAGCGCACGUAGGUGGAUUGUUAAGUGAGGGGUGAAAUCCCAGGGCUCAACCCUGGAACUGCCUUUCAUACUGGCAAUCUAGAGUUCGAGAGAGGUGAGUGGAAUUCCGAGUGUAGAGGUGAAAUUCGUAGAUAUUCGGAGGAACACCAGUGGCGAAGGCGGCUCACUGGCUCGAUACUGACGCUGAGGUGCGAAAGCGUGGGGAGCAAACAGG
rnacentral:rRNA from 1 species